rnacentral:rRNA from 1 species
UACAGAGGGGGCAAGCGUUAUUCGGAAUUAUUGGGCGUAAAGGGCGCGUAGGCGGUAGCACAAGUCAGUUGUGAAAUCUCCGGGCUUAACUCGGAAAGGUCAACUGAUACUGUGCGACUAGAGUGCAGAAGGGGCAACUGGAAUUCUCGGUGUAGCGGUGAAAUGCGUAGAUAUCGAGAGGAACACCUGCGGCGAAGGCGGGUUGCUGGGCUGACACUGACGCUGAGGCGCGAAAGCCAGGGGAGCGAACGGG